rnacentral:lncRNA from 1 species
AUUAGACAACUUCUUUUCCCCGCUGACGGUGGUGAGACUGUCUAACGAGCUCUGCACAGCCCCGGAUGGCUCCAGUGGCACCUGUGUGGGCAGACUGGAAUGCGCCAAGCAAGGAGGAACCGUAUCGGGGGUCUGCGGAAAGGGCUUUGGUGUGUGCUGCGUCACGAAAGUUGCCGAAAACGGAGUCAUCAGGGCGAAUAACACGCUGAUUCUUAAGGAGUCGUUCAAUGACGGCGUUGACAUCACCUAUACUGUCGUCAAGGUGAAUGAUGACAUCUGCCAGUACAGGAUUGACGUGAAAGAGCUGACGUUAGAUGCCGUGGGUGAAGCAGGAGAUUGCUUCCAAGAUUGGUUUGAGGUCAACCAAGACACCAAGUUCAGCAAGGUCUGCGGCAAAACGAUUGACGUGCACUGUGAGUCCUGUGUCUGCAACUGUUGAU